rnacentral:rRNA from 1 species
UACGUAGGGUGCGAGCGUUGUCCGGAAUUAUUGGGCGUAAAGAGCUCGUAGGCGGCCGUUCGCGUCGGAUGUGAAAGCUCAGGGCUCAACUCUGAGAUGCCAUUCGAUACGGGACGGCUAGAGGUAGGUAGGGGAGAGUGGAAUUCCUGGUGUAGCGGUGAAAUACGUAGAGAUUGGGAAGAACACCAGUGGCGAAGGCGGCUAUCUGGACGGUUUCUGACGCUAAGACGCGAAAGCGUGGGGAGCAAACAGG